rnacentral:rRNA from 1 species
UACAGAGGGUGCGAGCGUUGUCCGGAAUCACUGGGCGUAAAGGGCGCGUAGGUGGCCCGACAAGUCAGUGGUGAAAGUUCGACGCUUAACGUCGAAUCGGCCACUGAUACUGUUGGGCUGGAGCACUGUAGAGGCUCAUGGAAUUCCGGGUGUAGCGGUGGAAUGCGUAGAGAUCCGGAAGAACAUCGGUGGCGAAGGCGCUCUGCUGGACCAUAACUGACACUCAGGGACGAAAGCUAGGGGAGCGAAUGGG